UGAGGUUUGGCUUAGUGGUAAAGAGCUCGUCUAGCACAUGUGAGGCACUGGGUUCGAUCCUCAGCACCACAU
rnacentral:tRNA from 1 species